rnacentral:lncRNA from 1 species
GUUCAGGCCCUGGAAGACCAGUAAGUGGCUUAGGACCUGGGUGAACAGUUAGUAGCCCAGGUCCCCUUUAAAGGCCAAGUGUAAUGUUGUCUCAGAAAUAGUAUCUUCCAAGAAUAUUGUUAGUCGAACCAGCAAUGGACAGGUAAAUGGAAUGAAACCUCCUCUCUCUGGCUACAGAUCUGCCCAAGCUCCUCAAAGACUUCCUUUCCCUACUAGUUAUAAAAGGCAGUGAGGAUAUGAGGAGGAAGAUGAUGAUGAUGAUGAUGAAUAUGACUCUGAAAUGGAUGAUUUCAUUGAAGAUGAAGGAGAACCUUAGGAAGAAAUAUCCAAGCAUAUUCUAGAAAUCUUUGGCUAUGACUGAAAAAAACACAAAGAUGAAAGUGAUUAUGCCUUAUGUUACAUGGAGAGUAGUUGGAAAGAGCAGCAGAAUGAAGAAGCAAAGAGUUUAAGACUAGGUAUUCAGGAGGACUUAGAGGAAAUGAGACGUGAAGAAGAAGAAAUGUAGAAAAGCAAAGAAGCUAAAGAGAUUAGCUGCUGCUUUAUUUUUGAGAAAUUCUGGAAACACUGCUGCAAGGAGUUUCUGCCUUCAGACUGAAUAAGCCCCCUUAUUAUUUUAGAUUUAUACUUGGG